ACCCUUGGAUUACUGAUUAGGGUAAAUAGUUAUACUUCGCGUUUGCCUAGCUGUUCAGCUGAGCGGACUUAAUAUUCUUGCCUUAUUUAAAUGUAGCUGAAAAGAGUAGCUUCGCAGAAUUUAUGUUCUCAAUUUUUCUUGAAUGCUUGCUCAUUUGUAGUCUAAUUGGCCGUUGCUGUCACAAAUUUGAGAAACCGAGCAUCUAAUUUGACAAGGUAUUUGCUGCUUUCCGGCCGUAAACCUAAAAUUCUUAGAAAGAAUUUCAAAACCCAUUAUCUGUUCUAGAAACGUAGCAUCAGUUAUCUUAAUAUCUACGAGUACUCAAAUCAGGUUAAUAGAACUUAAGAGUACAUCCAAGUAUGAUAGAAAAGACUACGUGAACUUAAAACUCUUACUGACUGAGGCUGAUAAACUUUGCUUUAAAUGUGCUGUAUCUGCAAUUUUUUUUUUUCCUUGAGGCCUAUUCAACAGCUCAUUUUGAUGCGUAUUCUACAGCCAUUCCAUUCCAAUAGACUGCACGCUGUUCAAGAUUUGGGAAGAGAUGCCAAGGAGAUUAGCGCAUGAGAUCAUUGGUUUACCUUGGAGGAAGUUUGCAGGGGAGGUAUGGCGCCCCACAUGUAUUUUUCUCAAGUUCGUAUGCUUCAUGGACGUGCUAAGCAAUUAUGUUGGUGGUUUAACGCUGGUUGGUCUCUCGACCUUUCGUUAUCCUCCUUUAUGCCCGACUCUAUGUAUGUUGUUGAUUGUGCACAGCCAAUGGGACCUAGCAUGCUCCCUACGUUUAAUAUCUCAGGCGAUGUUGUUCUCACAGAAAAAAUAUCUCAUAGAUUUGGAAAGAUAAAGCAUGGCGACAUUAUUCUAUUACGCUCCCCAGAAAAUCCAAGGAAGGUACCCAAAGGGCAUGUAUGGGUUGAAGGUGAUAACCCAUCUGUUUCAAAAGAUUCAAGGAAUUAUGGGGCUGCUCCUUGUGCGCUUAUAGAAGGAAAAUUAUUUUUUAGGAUCUGGCCAAUUGAAGGAUUUGGACACCUGAAAUGAAGCAGUUCUUCAAGGUACACCAUUAGAAGUCUCUGGUUUAAUUGGUUAUCGAGUGAGCCUUAGAUGGAUGCAAUAUUUUUGUGGUACCUGUACAACAUAAGAGUGUUUUGGCAGAUUGUAUUUGAUGAUAACGUAACAAAAUUGAGGUGGUUGGUCAACGUCGAAGGAUACAGUAAACAAUAAUGGUUCGUAUUUGUUUAUUUUAGAUUUCAAUAAACAUUGAAGAUGCUAUUUGCUUGCACUUAAAUUCUUUUAGGCUCGAUAAUUUGCUUGGAAACAUUUGGUGAUGAAUGACUCGAUUUUUGUUCUCACGACGUUUGUAUUGAAUAUUUCAAAGUUGCUACUCGCAUUUUUGGUAGUUGAUGGAAGAUGAUAUUAUAGUGUAUUUUUGUUUGUAAUUUUUUUUAACGAAGUGAUUGAGAAUUGAAGUGAAAAUUAAAAGAAUGCUGACUUUUAAUUUGGUCAGGUAUUUUCUUUGAA